rnacentral:misc_RNA from 1 species
CAGAGUUGCAAAACUCCCACCAUUGUGAACCUACCCCACCGUUGCUUCGGCGGGUGGCCCGGGGCAACCCAGGCCGCGCCGGCACCCUUCUUCGGGGGGCCCGGCAAGCCCGUCAGAGGACCGAAACCCUGUAAUUACUGGCCUCUCUGAGUAACUUAUACAAUAAGUCA